rnacentral:rRNA from 1 species
AGCCGGUCUCAGUUGGGAUUGUAGUCUGCAACUCGACUACAUGAAGUCGGAAUCGCUAGUAAUGGCGGAUCAGCAUNCCNCCGUGAAUACGUUCCCGGGCCUUGUACACACCGCCCGUCACAUCACGAAAGUCGGUUGCUCUUGAAGUCGCUGAGCUGACCCGCAAGGGAGGCAGACGCCUACGGAGUGAUCGAUGAUUGGGGUGAAGUCGUAACAAGUUACC